rnacentral:lncRNA from 1 species
GCUGAUUGGCUGAGACUGCCAGUCGCCUUCUCGCUCGUACAGCUGCAGCCAAACAGCAGCGGCCGAAAUCGACAGUCCACUUGGUGAACUCUUACAGAAUACCAUCGCACCCCCC